GACGAACGCUGGCGGCGUGCUUAACACAUGCAAGUCGAGCGGUAAGGCCCUUUCGGGGGUACACGAGCGGCGAACGGGUGAGUAACACGUGGGUGACCUGCCCUCAGCUCUGGGAUAAGCCUGGGAAACCGGGUCUAAUACUGGAUAUGACUCCAUGACGCAUGUUGUGGGGUGGAAAGCCUUGUGCGGCUGAGGAUGGGGCCCGCGGCCUAUCAGCUUGUUGGUGGGGUGANGGCCUACCAAGGCGACGACGGGUAGCCGGCCUGAGAGGGCGACCGGCCACACUGGGACUGAGACACGGCCCAGACUCCUACGGGAGGCAGCAGUGGGGAAUCUUGCGCAAUGGGCGAAAGCCUGACGCAGCGACGCCGCGUGAGGGAUGAC
rnacentral:rRNA from 1 species